rnacentral:rRNA from 1 species
AUUGAACGCUGGCGGCAGGCUUAACACAUGCAAGUCGAGCGGGGUGAUGGUGCUUGCACUAUCACUUAGCGGCGGACGGGUGAGUAAUGCUUAGGAAUCUGCCUAUUAGUGGGGGACAACAUCUCGAAAGGGAUGCUAAUACCGCAUCCGUCCUACGGGCGCAAGCAGGGGAUCACUUGUGAUCUUGCGCUAAUAGAUGAGCCUAAGUCAGAUUAGCUAGUUGGUGGGGUAAAGGCCUACCAAGGCGACGACCUGUAGCGGGUCUGAGAGGAUGAUCCGCCACACUGGGACUGAGACACGGGCCAGACUCCUACGGGAGGCAGCAGUAGGGAAUAUUGGACAAUGGGGGGAACCCUGAUCCAGCCAUGCCGCGUGUGUGAAGAAGGCCUUAUGGUUGUAAAGCACUUUAAGCGAGGAGGAGGCUCUUUUGGUUAAUACCCAAGAUGAGUGGACGUUACUCGCAGAAUAAGCACCGGCUAACUCUGUGCCAGCAGCCGCCGUAA